rfam:Ornithorhynchus anatinus chromosome X1, whole genome shotgun sequence.
AGCAGCGGGGCUCAGUGGAAAGAGCCCGGGCUUGGGAGUCAGAGGACGUGGGUUCUAAUCCCACCUCCGCCA